rnacentral:lncRNA from 1 species
UCACUUGGGAUCUGUGAAGUCUGGGCUGGACAGACACUGAAUUAGGUGCCUGAGACCUAGAAGUAGACACAGCAGCUCUGGGCCGUGAGCAGCCGUGAGCAGCCGUGAGCAGCCAGCUUUGUGCUCCCAGCAGAGCCUGGCUCUGAAGAACCAGAAGGCAACAGGUUUCUCUUGGGGAGGUCAUUCUCCAGGCCAAGGAGAGGCUGCCUGGCUUUUUCGUGGAGACUGCGUAUAACAGAAAUACUCCUCCUGGGCCGGUGUUCUAGGAGGGCCAAAGUCAAGUCCCUUCCUCCUACUCGGACCUAGGAGCCCCCACCUGAUGUGACUCAUGCCUGAGGCGGAUGCCAGCAGCCUCUCCAGGCAUCCGAAGACAUUUGGGGGGUCCACUUCCCAGGAGCAGCCCCUCCAGCGCCUCUCUCGGCCUGUGUGAUGUUUUCUGAAGAAAGAUGCCUUUUGAUCUAAGGGCGGCAGCGCUGAGAUCUCUCCAUGUCCUCCUUCCAGCCACCUCUGCUCUCUCUCUGCAUCCUGGUGCAGAGCUGUGGGCACCGCGUGGCAUUGGAUGAGUGGAUGAUGUGACCGCCCAGAUGAAAGAGCUCCGAAUCCACUCAACGGACGACAAACUGAGAAAAAUCAGUGAAAAGAACAGCACUCCAGGCCCACCUUGAAACGCGUGUCUUUGAAGUUUUAAGUGAGGCUGGGUCGCAUCUGACAGCGUGCGCCGCCGUGGGGAGGCUGCCUGAGCUGUCUUCUGGCCUCUGGGCCUUCCAAAAAUGAACGUUUUAACAUCAACGUGGCCAUGGACCCACCUGCUGUACGAGCUGCGGUUGCGCGUGUGAUUUUCCUCUGUGAGGCAGGAGGCAGGCUAGCCUGGGAAGGGCUGGGGGCCUGGAGGAGGUCGGCAGAGACCCGGCCGUGCAUGCGAAUGGAUGCAAGGGGAGCACUGACUGACUCUCGCACACACGUUCAGCCUCCUUCCAGGUGCUGCUCCUUCUCUCUCUGGACUCCACUCUCCCCAAAAUCCCAGGAUAUGUCUCCAAGGGAACAUUUCAUUCUUUCCUCCUCAACCCCCCAAAUGCCCUUGGAGACCCUCAGUUCUCAGCUGAUGGCUUUUCCUCUUGGUGACACGCGGCACCUGCUUUGGGGAAAAUGCAGAAGCCACCAAGCUUCCUGAAACAUCUUCAAUUUUCCCUCUGACAGAUGGAAACACCCCCACUCCUGUUGGAGCCCAGGGCCACCCCUCUGGGCAUUGCACAGACACCAGGCAUAGCGGCAUCCCUUUCCCGGACUCCAGAGUCGUGCCCCUGAAAUCUGUCUAUCCCACAGCCUCCACUUCCCCGCCAGACAUAUUACCUCAAUAGCAGAGACCAAGCUUUAACCUCUUCUACGUUAAAAAAUAACAAUAAUAAAGCUCCUGCCUUAAAAACAAGGAUGUCCUGCCUUCGUCCUCUCCUCUCCUUCUCAAGGCAGGCCAUGGAGAGACUGCCCACCUCCCCGUGCCCACAUCCCCAUGCCCACCUCACCGUUCCCACCUCCCCACACCGCUUCCUCCCCUGGCUGCCACUGAGUCUGCUGUUCCCUCCACUUGGCAUGACUCUCUAAAUCUCACACAGCUCACUCCUUCUUCAGAUCCAGGCAUCAGCCCCAGGCUGCC